rnacentral:rRNA from 1 species
AAACCAACAGGGAUUGCCCUAGUAACGGCGAGUGAAGCGGCAAGAGCUCAAAUUUGAAAUCUGGCCCUCUCAGGGUCCGAGUUGUAAUUUGUAGAGGGCGCUUUGGCGUUGGCCCCGGCCUAAGUUCCUUGGAACAGGACGUCACAGAGGGUGAGAACCCCGUACGUGGCCGCCGGCCUCCGCCGUGUAAAGCCCCUUCGACGAGUCGAGUUGUUUGGGAAUGCAGCUCUAAAUGGGAGGUAAAUUUCUUCUAAAGCUAAAUACUGGCCAGAGACCGAUAGCGCACAAGUAGAGUGAUCGAAAGAUGAAAAGCACUUUGGAAAGAGAGUCAAAAAGCACGUGAAAUUGUUGAAAGGGAAGCGCUUGCAGCCAGACUUGCCUGUAGUUGCUCAUCCGAGCUCCCGCUCGGUGCACUCUUCUGCGGGCAGGCCAGCAUCAGUCCGGGCGGUCGGAUAAAGGCCUCGGGAAUGUAGCUCCCCUCGGGGAGUGUUAUAGCCCGGGGCGCCAUGCGACCAGUCUGGACUGAGGUCCGCGCAUCUGCUAGGAUGCUGGCGUAAUGGCUGUAAGCGGC